rnacentral:rRNA from 1 species
GUGUCAGCAGCCGCGGUAAUACGUAGGGGGCGAGCGUUGUCCGGAAUUACUGGGCGUAAAGCGCACGCAGGCGGUCUACCAAGUUCGGGGUGACAGUUUCCGGCUCAACCGGGAAAGUACUUUGAAAACUGGUCGACUUGAGAACGAGAGAGGAACAUGGAACUCCAGGUGUAGUAGUGAAAUGCGUAGAUAUCUGGAAGAACACCAAAGGCGAAGGCAAUGUUCUGGCUCGUUUCUGACGCUCAGGUGCGAAAGCCAGGGGAGCGAACGGGAUUAGAAACCCGUGUAGUCC